UUAACAUAGAGAGUUUAUUUGGGCAAAGAUUGAGGAUUGCAGCCCAGGACACACUUCCAAGUUGCCUUGGGGAAUGCUCCAUUUGGGCCUUUUUGUUACAAGAUUUUUAAAGGCAAAAGGGGACAAAGAGUUUUCUGAUACAAAGUUGUUUGACAGGAAUUCUCACUGGUUUACCGGAACAAGAUUGGUUAGAGGUUGGUUAUGCAUUGCUAAACUAUGGCUAUGAAUUAUGGUGUCUAGCAUAUGGCAUUUCAUAGCUACUUGGCUUCAGUUAGUCUAGAGCCCAUAUAGCAAGUGCCCUCAAGAUGUAAUUAUUUAGCUCAAGUGGGAGUGAGAUUUCACUGCUGUUGCAUUUUAACACCUCUCUGGGCCUGAUAAUUGAAGAGGGCUUGCAUUCGUCAGACAAAAAGUUUCUUUUCCUUCUCAAGGUCAUCCUGCACUUAAGAUGGGAUCCCAAGUUCCAAUUCUUCCAGGAGAAAAAAAGACUAGGAGGAUGGAAUGCAUUGAAAGACUAAUAGGGAGGUGAAUACAGAGAAGCAGAGGAAGGCAACAAUUAACAAUGGAGAAAUGAAGAGAUAGAGUGAAGCAUGAACCGGUAAAAUGGAGCUCAGAAUCCUGGAGCUAGUUCUGCCAAUAUUGAUUGUCCUCCCAGGUACCUAUUUUAUAAACAGAUGUGUUGUACAAACUCAAGGUUGUCUUCACAGAACACUUUUGAUGGAUACGUUGUGUCAGUGGCUUCCCAUUGAACAUAAAAUAAAAACCAAACUUCUUAUCUUAGCCUCAAAGGCCAAUCUAUGUACUAUUCCCUCUAGCUGAAAUAUUCUUCCCCUCCAUUAUUCACUUAAUUAUGUGGAAAUCAGAAAUUAAAUACCUUGAUUUCUUUUACUGGCCUUAAAGAAAUGUAAUUUUUACAAUUAUAUUUAAUGAAAAGCCUUGAGGGGAGACAAUCUUAUUAGCAUAAGCACUUUGAGAAUUAAUUCAAAGUGUCAUGCUGGUUGUUAACUUCUCAGCAAGACAACGAAGAGAGUUUCAGAGAACUCAGAAUUUAUCGUUCAGUGACUAUGUAAAACGACAUUGUCAGAAAAAGAGCCAAUUGCAGUGAAAGGUUUUAAAGGUAAGGAUAUGUGAUCUGUCCCUUGUUAAUGGGAUAAGUCUUUCAGAGAGAUGUUCCAUGACAUGGUUAGUAAAUACAAAAUAUCUAGUGUAACCACUCUUGCUCAUAAAACACGUUUGUUAUAGGAAUCCCUCUAGUCAUUCACUUAAGUGAUCAAAUGUAUUUGUAAUAAGAAAUAGAAAGGGGUUAAUUAAGAUAUAAAUAAACUUCUCAGCCCUACAGCUGAAGCACUGGCAUCACCUCAGACAAAUCUGAUCCAAAUCCAAUGAAAAGCCUGUUUUUCCCAAUUAUUCUCAUCAGUCAGGACUCAGUUUAAGGUCACCUUCUUUGAGAGGCUUGCUCUGGGAACUAUAUUUAAAGCAGUACUACUUGAAAUUUGGAAAAUCAUUUGGUAAAAAUACAGAGGCCCAGGCUUUCCUUACUUUGAUUAAGCCAGGACAAUUGUAUUCUUUAUUAGCUCUCCAGUUAAUUCUGACACCCAUAAAAGUUUGAGAACUACCAAUCCAAAUGUUUAUCCUUCCUUUCAUCCCUUUAUUUUCUAUUAUAGCAUCCAAUUUGUUUCCCACACAGCUCUUAUCACAAUAUCUAUUUACAUGUGGUUGUCAGUCUCCCCUACUAAACUAUAAGCACCAUGAGGGCAGUGAUCAUGUCUUUCUUGUCAAUUACUGUAUCCCCAGAACUUAACACAAUGCUUGGCACACACUUGGGGCUCUAAAAAUAGACAGCUUUGUAUGCAUAGAAUUUUUUUUAAAAACUUCAAUGUAAAUUGUAUUCAUAGUACAGUCAAGACUUGUUUUAUAAUAGUAAAUCAUAAACUUUUUAUUUUCUACCAGAAUCUUUUUGAGGGAAUGCUAAUAAAUAUUACAGAUAAAACCAGAAUGAGAGCUGGGCCUGGUGGCUCACGCUUGUAAUCCCAGCACUUUGGGAGACUGAAGCAGGUGGAUUACUUGAGGUCAGGAGUUCGAGACCAGUCUGGCCAACAUGGCAAAACCCUGUCUCUACUAAAAAUGCAAAAAUUAGCCAGGCGUGGCGGCAGGCACCUGUAAUCCCAGCUACUCAGGAGGCUGAGGCAGGAGAAUCACUUGAACCAGGGAGGCAGACAUUGUAGUGAGCCAAAAUCACACCACUGCACUCCUGUCUGGGAGACGGAGCAAGACUCCGUCUCAAAAAAAAAAAAAAAAUCAGAAUGGGGUCAGUUGUUCUUGUUUAAUCAAAAACGUUUGUUCUUGUUUAAUCAAAAAUGGUUGUUCCAAAAAUGGAAGCCAGAGUUCUGCCUUCUUGGCCUCUCUUAGAUCUCUGAAGGCAGUAUAGGGCCAUGCUUUACAAAGGGUGUUCCCUGGAACAGCAGCAUCAGCAGAUGAUGCAAAAGAAAUGGUGAGAAAAAUUGCUGACACCUUAGCACAAAUCAAAGCAGUAGAACCAAAAAUCAUUGUGUUCUUCACUAUCGCACAGAGGCACUUAACAAAAAAGCCAAGUUCACUUAAGAAUGUCUUCAAUGGCCAGGGGCAGUGGCUCACGCCUGUAAUCCCAGCACUUUGGGAGGCCAAAUCAGUCCAGUCACUUGAGGCCAGGAGUUCGGGACCAGUCUGGCCAACAUGGUGAAACCUCGUCUCUACUAAAAAUACAAAAAUUAGCUGGGCAUGGUGGCGGGUGCCUGUAAUCCCAGCUACUCGGGAGGCUGUGGCAUGAGAAUCACUUGAACCUGGGAGGCAGAGGCUGCAGUGAGCUGAGAUCACACCACUGCACUCCAGCCUGGGUGACAGAGCGAGACUCUGUCUCAAAAAAAAAAAAAAGUAUUUGAUGAAACAGUAAAAAUUGUUAAUAUUGAAUUUCAUGAGGACACAUCUUUUUAAUAUUCUGUGUGAUGAAAUGGGAGGUGAGCAUUAAGUCCUUCUGUGGCAUAAUGAAGUAUGAUGGUUGUCUUGAAGAAAAGCACUUUUGCAAUUCUUUGAAUUGUGCUUUAACUAGCCACCUUUUACAUGGGACACCAGUUUUACUUGGGAAAAAAGCAACUGACAAAAUGGUCAUUGAAACUUGGAUAUUUGGCAGACAUCUUGAAAAUGAACAAAGUGUAGCUGUCACUUUAAGGAAAGCAGUUGGCAUUAUUUCUUGUCAAAGACAAAAUUUGAGCAUUCAAGAGAAAACUAGAAUUGUGUAAAAUGUGUAUCUACUUCUCAAUGCUUAAAGAUUUUUCUAAUGAGAUCAGCAGUGCUAUUAACAAAUAUGAUUUUCUGAUUUUAUAUAAUGAAAUGUGCCAAUAUUUGGAAGAUCUGUAUAACUCAGUGAACUAAUAUUUUCCAAAUGAUCAAUGUGGAAUCAUGUGUGAGUAAAAGGUCCAUUCAAAGGGCAAGAUAGACAUGAAAUUGAAUGUAACGGUGUAGAAAAGUUAAUUUAUAUGGUUUCAGAUUCCACAUUGCAACUAAUCUUUAAGGAGUUAUAAUCAGUUGUGGAGUUUUAGUGUAACAACAAAAGAUAUCCACAAUUAGCUGCAAAGACUAUUAAAAUAGUCAUUUUUUCCAAAAACAUAUAAUGUAAGGUGAGAUAUAAAACAAGGUUGGCCACUCCAUUGAUUAACUUAAUUUUGUUGUGGAAAAUGUAGUUAUUUCUCAUAAAAUAUGUUCCUUAUGUUAACCUGUAAUAUGUUUAUUAUUGUUAUAAUAAAUGAAUCAAUAAAUAAAUAUUUCUAAAAUUUCUGUUUUACUUUCUAGUGUGGCUUAUACCGAUAUAUCCCACAUAAAUAAAAGCUUUUUAAGAUCUUCAUAAUUUAUAAGAGCAUAAAGAGUUUCUGAGUCCAAAACUUUUGAGAACUGCUGCCUUAAGAACAGUGUGAAAACUUCCUCUUUUGAGCAGUGCUAUUCUCAGACAAAGAUGGAUAAUAAACCUUGAUGAGUCCUUCCUAAUCUUUUUCCUCUUUUGCCAGCUAGACCUCAAGUCCAGCAAUUACUAAAUGCCCCUGAUUUAUUUCACAUAAAUAUAUAUUCCUGUGAUGCCUUUCUAAGCAGAAUUUAGUCACCUUGAUUGGAUUUUCAGACUUGUUGGCCUCCAUGAUUCCAUUUGGCAAUGAGCCAAGUCACUCCCCUGAGUUGCAUAUUUACAAACCAGCUCCUAGACAGAAAUGACUAAAUAAAGUGUCAGCUGCUGGGCUCUGCCAAUUUCAGAAGACAAGCUCAUUCCUUGUACUUUUUUUAUACCAAAUAUUCCACUCAAUAUCUUUCUGAUGAUGGGAUAUAAAUUUUUACAAAGGGCUAAAGAAAAAAUAGUGUUAAAAACAAUUGAAAAAAUAAAAGGGGGCUAAUAUUUGUUGAGCAUUUGCUCUAAGCCAAAUACUAUUAUAUAUGUCACUGCAUUUAAUUCUCCCAACAACUCCAUGAGAUGAGCAUUACUCUCAUUUUACAGAUCAGAAGAGCAGGGUUGGAUAACUGUUACACAGUAGAGGAAGGAUGAAACUCAGGCCUCAGUGACUCCAAAGAAAGAGCAAUAGUCAGACAAUCUGGGUUGUGUCACAUACUUUAUAGUGGUAUUUUACAGAUAUGGGGGUGAAAACCCUUCAUAUAAGCCUUCAGAAUUGUCUCAGACCAGUGAUCUCAGUGUGGUCCCUGGACCAGCAGCAUCAGCAUCCCCAAGAACUUGUUAAAGUACAGAUUCUUAGGCCUCACUUCAAAUCUGCUAAAUCAGAUACUUUGCAGGUGGGGCCCAGUAAUCUGUGUAUUAUCAAGCCCUCCAGGGGAUUCUGAUGCACACUUAAGUUGGAGAACCACGAAAACAAGCUUGUGCUUGUCCAACCCGUGGCCCAUGGGCUGCAUGCGGCCCAGGACAGCUUUGAAUGCAGCCCAACACAAAUUCGUAAACUUUCUUAAAACAUUAUGAGAUUUUUUUGCAAUUUUUUAUUGUUAGCUCCUCAGUUACCAUUAGUAUUAGUGUAUUUUAUGUGUGGCCCAAGAUAAUUCUUCCAAUGUGGCCCAGAGAAGCCAAAAGAUUGGACACUCUUGCACUAAAGUAUGCCAACACAGCCUCAGGAAGCUAGGGCAAGGAGCAGACCAACUGAACAGCUACUGGGGUUGCCAAUCUAUAAGGGUACUAAAAUGCCACAGAAAUUAAUCAGAAAUAUUGUGGCAGUUAACUUAAAUCUCCUCUUCUCUGGGGAAAGUAAAUUGGUCUCAUUCCUAUUCCAUGCAGGUAAUAAAUUUCCUGUUUUGAAUUUGAGUAUGUGACAGAAAAAUAGUAUUUGUUAUUUUUAAUAUUCUGCUGUCUUCUACAAAAGGUUGAUCCUGGUAACUGGAAAAGUUUUUGCUUGCUGAACAUGAGCUCUUCCACAUUUGUCUAAUAGCCUCUUAGCUCUCUACUCCUCCUUGACGCCUGAAGGAUGAGCAGUACAGACCCACAAAAAAUCUUAUUCAUGGAUCAUCUUAGAUUUUAUUCCCUAAAACGUAGCCUGAGAUGGGGAUUCUUGUGCCAGUGAUUUAUUGAGGACACACUCUCAGCAGAAGGGAAUCAGGUUGAGGUGUCAGAGAGGGGUGGGGCGGGUGUGUGGAGGGAAGCUAAGCAAGGACGUGGUCUCAAAUGGUUACUAGUUUCAGCCUGAUCCCACCCACGUGGAGUUCUGGGGCUGAAAUUUCACCCACACACCUGGUCCUGCCUGGAGGGAAGGGAGCCAAGUUUUUAUAUCCCUAUAUCAGUCACUCAUUGACUGUAGGCUACUAGUGGCCAGGUUAGGGUGAGAGUCUGACAUCCUGGGCUAACAGUAGUUCCUGGUGGCUGAGAGCAGCACUUCAAAGAAAGAGGCAGCUGUGAGACAUCAGCACGCAACCCUGUCAGCAGCUGGGGGAUGGACGAACCCAGGUGAAAGGCAUCUGGAUGGGGCAUCACCAGCAUCUACUACAUGGAUGUAAUUUUAGGUUUCUGUUUGUAUCUCUGGAUAUCAGUGUCCACCUCUGCCUAAGGUGUGAAUUUUCCUCUCUAUCCCUCGGCCUUAUAGAGCCAUAUCCCUGGACCAGCCAGCUUCCCGUUCCCCAUUCAGCCUAUGGGUAAAUCAAAUCAAGCAGCUAUAUGUGUAGGAUCCCAGAUCAUUUGCAGAGGGGCAUUUAACACAUGAA
rnacentral:lncRNA from 1 species